rnacentral:rRNA from 1 species
UAGGGAAUCUUCCGCAAUGGGCGAAAGCCUGACGGAGCAACGCCGCGUGAGUGAUUAAGGUCUUCGGAUCGUAAAACUCUGUUAUUAGGGAAGAACAAAUGUGUAAGUAACUAUGCACGUCUUGACGUUACCUAAACAGAAAGCCACGGCUAACUACGUGCCAGCAGCCGCGGUAAUACGUAGGUGGCAAGCGUUAUCCGGAAUUAUUGGGCGUAAAGCGCGCGUAGGCGGUUUUUUAAGUCUGAUGUGAAAGCCCACGGCUCAACCGUGGAGGGUCAUUGGAAACUGGAAUACUUGAGUGCAGGAGAGGAAAGUGGAAUUCCAUGUGUAGCGGUGAAAUGCGCAGAGAUAUGGAGGAACACCAGUGGAGAAGGCGACUUUCUGGUCUGUAACUGACGCUGAUGUGCGAAAGCGGGGGGAUCAAAUAGG